rnacentral:rRNA from 1 species
GAUGAACGCUGGCGGCGUGCUUAACACAUGCAAGUCGAACGAUGAAGCCCAGCUUGCUUGGUGGCUUAGUGGCGAACGGGUGAGUAACACGUGAGUAACCUGCCCUUAACUCUGGGAUAAGCCUGGGAAACUGGGUCUAAUACCGGAUAGGAGCGUCCACCGCAUGGUGGGUGUUGGAAAGAUUUAUCGGUUUUGGUUGAACGCGCGGCCUAUCAGCUUGUUGGUGGGGUAUUGUCCAACCAAGGCGCCGACGGGUAGCCGGCCUGAGAGGGUGACCGGCCACACUGGGACUGAGAAACGGCCCAGAAUCCUACGGGAGGAAGCAGUGGGGAAUAUUGCACAAUGGGCGCAAGACUGAUGCAGCGACGACGCGUGAGGGAUGAAGGACUUCGGGUUGUAAACCUCUUUCAGUAGGGAAGAAGAGAAAGUGACGGUACCUGCAGAAGAAGCACCGGCUAACUACGUG